rnacentral:rRNA from 1 species
CCUACGGGUGGCAGCAGUGGGGAAUAUUGCACAAUGGGCGACAGCCUGAUGCAGCAACGCCGCGUGAGCGAUGAAGGCCUUCGGUUCGUAAAGCUCUGUCCUCAAGGAAGAUAAUGACGGUACUUGAGGCCGAAUCCCCGGCUAACUCCGUGCCAGCCGCCGCGGUAAUACGUAGGGGGCUAGCGUUAUCCGGAAUUACUGGGCGUAAAGGGUGCGUAGGUGGUUUCUUAAGUCAGAGGUGAAAGGCUACGGCUCAACCGGAGUAAGCCUUUGAAACUGGGAAACGUGAGUGCAGGAGAGGAGAGUGGAAUUCCUAGUGUAGCGGUGAAAUGCGUAGAUAUUAGGAGGAACACCAGUUGCGAAGGCGGCUCGCUGGACUGUAACUGACACUGAGGCACGAAAGCGUGGGGAGCAAACAGGAUUAGAUACCCUUGUAGUC